CAGCCGCCACGGGAAUACGUAGGGUGCGAGCGUUAAUCGGAAUUACUGGGCGUAAAGCGUGCGCAGGCGGUUUUGUAAGACAGGCGUGAAAUCCCCGGGCUCAACCUGGGAAUGGCGCUUGUGACUGCAAAGCUAGAGUGCGGCAGAGGGGGAUGGAAUUCCGCGUGUAGCAGUGAAAUGCGUAGAUAUGCGGAGGAACACCGAUGGCGAAGGCAAUCCCCUGGGCCUGCACUGACGCUCAUGCACGAAAGCGUGGGGAGCAAACAGGAUUAGAUACCCCCGUAGUCCCUGUCUCUUAUAC
rnacentral:rRNA from 1 species